GAUGAACGCUGGCGGCGUGCCUAAUACAUGCAAGUCGAGCGAACAGACGAGGAGCUUGCUCCUCUGACGUUAGCGGCGGACGGGUGAGUAACACGUGGAUAACCUACCUAUAAGACUGGGAUAACUUCGGGAAACCGGAUCUAAUACCGUAUAAUAUAUUGAACCGCAUGGUUCAAUAGUGAAAGACGGUUUUGCUGUCACUUAUAGAUGGAUCCGCGCCGCAUUAGCUAGUUGGUAAGGUAACGGCUUACCAAGGCGACGAUGCGUAGCCGACCUGAGAGGGUGAUCGGCCACACUGGAACUGAGACACGGUCCAGACUCCUACGGGAGGCAGCAGUAGGGAAUCUUCCGCAAUGGGCGAAAGCCUGACGGAGCAACGCCGAGUGAGUGAUGAAGGUCUUCGGAUCGUAAAACUCUGUUAUUAGGGAAGAACAAAUGUGUAAGUAACUAUGCACGUCUUGACGGUAACUAAUCAGAAAGCCACGGCUAACUACGUG
rnacentral:rRNA from 1 species